GACGAACGCUGGCGGCGUGCUUAACACAUGCAAGUCGAACGGAAAGGCCAGUGCUUGCACUGGUGCUCGAGUGGCGAACGGGUGAGUAACACGUGGGUGAUCUGCCUUGCACUCUGGGAUAAGCUUGGGAAACUGGGUCUAAUACCGGAUAGGAACCGUCUUUAGUGUGGUGGUUGGAAAGUUUUUUCGGUGCAAGAUGAGCUCGCGGCCUAUCAGCUUGUUGGUGGGGUAAUGGCCUACCAAGGCGUGGUCGGGUGGCCGGCCUGAGAGGGUGUACGGCCACAUUGGGACUGAGAUACGGCCCAGACUCCUACGGGAGGCAGCAGUGGGGAAUAUUGCACAAUGGGCGGAAGCCUGAUGCAGCGACGCCGCGUGGGGGAUGACGGCCUUCGGGUUGUAAACUCCUUUCGACAGGGACGAAGCGUUAUGUGACGGUACCUGUAUAAGAAGCACCGGCUAACUACGUG
rnacentral:rRNA from 1 species